GUUCAUGAGUGGCAGUUGUCGGUACCUGGCCGGCUGUCCGGCAACCCCGUCUCCAUCGACAGGGUGCCCCAGGGGAAGAACCGGCGCGUCCCGCAAUCGCAGGCGCGCAAGUCGAUGGA
rnacentral:ncRNA from 2 species